CCACAACAAGUUAACAGUUGUUCGAAGCAGUGCAAAAUGUCUUCACCAAUAAACCCAUGUCUGAAAAAUACAUGACGGGUAAAAAGAAUAAACAUGCCUUUGGUUGUUAAAGCUUUUUUGAAAUAAUAAGAGAUGCUAUAGCUACAAGUCACAAAUGUGCAACAUGGACAACAAUGUGGAACUAGUGUGCAAUAUAUCUAAAAUACGCCCAGAGAUAUCGGGAAUGUGUCUA